GAUGAACGCUGGCGGCGUGCCUAAUACAUGCAAGUCGAGCGAACAGACGAGGAGCUUGCUCCUCUGACGUUAGCGGCGGACGGGUGAGUAACACGUGGAUAACCUCCCUAUAAGACUGGGAUACCUUCGGGAAACCGGAGCUAAUCCCGGAUAAAAUGUUGAACCGCAUGGUUCAACAUUGAAAGACGGUUUUGCUGUCACUUAUAGAUGGAUCCGCGCCGCAUUAGCUAGUUGGUAAGGUAACGGCUUACCAAGGCAACGAUGCGUAGCCGACCUGAGAGGGUGAUCGGCCACACUGGAACUGAGACACGGUCCAGACUCCUACGGGAGGCAGCAGUAGGGAAUCUUCCGCAAUGGGCGAAAGCCUGACGGAGCAACGCCGCGUGAGUGAUGAAGGUCUUCGGAUCGUAAAACUCUGUUAUUAGGGAAGAACAAAUGUGUAAGUAACUAUGCACGUCUUGACGGUACCUAAUCAGAAAGCCACGGCUAACUACGUG
rnacentral:rRNA from 1 species